rnacentral:rRNA from 1 species
UACGUAGGCAGCGAGCGUUGUUCGGAGUUACUGGGCGUAAAGCGUGCGUAGGCGGUGUCUUAAGUUUGGUUGUGAAAUCUCCCGGCUUAACCGGGAGGUGCGGCGAAUACUGAGAUGCUGGAGUGCCGGAGAGGUAAGCGGAAUUCCUGGUGUAGCGGUGAAAUGCGUAGAUAUCAGGAGGAACACCUGCGGUGUAGACGGCUUACUGGACGGUAACUGACGCUGAGGCACGAAAGCGUGGGUAGCAAACAGG